UCGUGGCGCGAAAACUAGGACAUGUGUGGUUGCUUCCUCUCAGCCUGUGCAUCUGUGUGUGUGGUGGUCUUCAUUUAGUGACAUUGCUGGUACUUGUAGUUCCACAGAACUACUGGGGAGAAAAAAGUUGUACAAGACCAGUGUGUAACUCCGCCCACAGGCCGCCACACAAGCCACGCCCCUCCCUGAAACUGCGAAUUCACCGGUAAAGGGAUGAAGAAUAUACUUCUUAACUCUAUAGUGGCCGUGUGUCCUCCGGGCAUGGGCAUCGGGAAGGCUGGGACCCUGCCGUGGCCUCUACUCAGGAAUGAAUUCAAGCAUUUCCAGAGGCUGACUAUGACGCCCACGGUUGAAGGGAAGCAAAAUGUAGUCAUUAUGGGCAGAAAAACCUGGUUCUCUAUUCCAGAGAAGAAUCGACCUUUAAAGGAAAGAAUAAACAUAGUUCUAAGUAGGGAGCUCAUGGAACCCCCAAAAGGAGCUCACUAUCUUGCCAAGAGUCUAGAUGAGGCUUUGGAACUGCUAGAUACUUCUGAGUUAAAAGACCGAUUUGAUCUAAUCUGGAUCAUUGGAGGAAGCUCACUAUAUAAGAACAGAGACUGCAGACUGUACGGCAGAGUGGACAAAUCUAGAUACAGAAUCGUCCACCAUAGAUUGGAUGUGGUCCUGGGAAACGGGAUCCUUAAUAAUCCCUCUAUUUUCCUAAGACAUGGAAGUUAUGGACAAGCCAGUCAACCAGAGACUAUUUCUAACCAGAAUCCUACAGGAAUUUGAAUGUGACACAUUUUUGCCUGAAAUUGAUCUCCUCCAGUUCUACAAACUUCUCCCAGAAUUUCCAGGGAUAUCAUCAGAAGUUCAGGAAGAAAAUGGUGUACAGUACAAGUUUGAAGUCUAUGAAAAAAUGACUGUCUAAGUAAACAUUUCUUUGUUGUAAAUUUUAUGAGUAAUAAAUAGUUUUCUAAUGUU